UUUGACAUAUUGCACUAUUAGGUUGCUUUGUCUUUCUCUAUCCACAUAUGGAGACUAAAGACACUCAGAUCUACCACAUCCCCCAAGCAUAAAGAACUUAACAGCUGCAUCUACCUCCUGAUAAGAAACAUCUUUAUAUGUGACAAUUUGUAUUGUUGGGACGAGACUAUUUAGUAAUACCUUUUCAAUCUUAUGUGGCGCACCUCUUCUCUCUCUUUUGUUUUCCUGUGUGUUAUUUUGAAGGGUUGAGAGGGAUCCCUUCUUAGGGUUGCUGCCUAGUUGUUUAUUAUUUUCUUUUAUUAAGCGCUGACCCAAUUGUGUGUUUUUAUUUUCAAACAAUGCCUAAAUAGUCAUAAAUAUAUUAAUUGCAUUAUUAUUUGCCUCAUAUAUAUUCACAUACCUUUUUCCUGACUCACCUUUUAAAAUGGACAUAACUGAAACCAAACUUCAAACCAUCAACAAAAGAGAUUGUAUUUUUACAAUAUAUAUUAUGUAAACUCCUUUAUCAAUAACUGUUAAAUAUGAACGGUAACAUGCCUACUUCUCACUUUCAGAGUUUAAUUAACACAUUUUCUACCAAGAUCUUUCCGCAAAUACUAAAACUAUGCAUACACAAUUAUGUAUUUCUUUUUUUUCUGCAAAAAUAGUGGUGGAAUUUACUCGUGAUUAGACAGUGAAACUAGAUAACAUAACGAGCUUUCGGUUGUUAUGACAAUGUAAAUGUGUAUUUAUAUCUGUAUGCAUCAAGUGACACAUGUAGGCAUGGCAGAUUACCACGUUUUCUGCAAAAUAGAAAAUACAGGGAUUCAAAAUGUAUUCUCAUUUAAAACAUACAUUUGCCUGAGAAAAAAAUAAAUAAAAAAUAAUGUUAAAAAAA